rnacentral:rRNA from 1 species
AGUGAACGCUGGCGGCGUGCCUAAUACAUGCAAGUCGAACGGACUGGCGCACGGGUGAGUAAUAUAUAGCUAAUCUGCCCCUUGCUGGAGGAAAACAGUUAGAAAUGACUGCUAAUACUCCAUAGCAAGGGAUGAGACUAUAUCGUAUCAGCUAGUCGGUGGGGUAACGGCCUAGCGAGGCGACGAAGCGUAACUGGUCUGAGCGGAUGAUCAGUCACAUUGGAACUUAGACACGGUCCAAAUUCCUACGGGAGUGAGCAGUAGGUAAUAUUGCGCAAGGGGGGAGACCCUGACGAAGCAACGCCGCGUGGAGUAUGACACUUUUCGGAGCGUAAACUCCUUUUGUUAGGGAAGCGGUACCUAACGAAUAAGCCACGGCUAACUACGUGCCAGCCGCCGCGGUAAUAC